GUCAUACAAGGACCGGACUGCCCUUAGCAGAGGGCCCCGGACCCCAUACUCCCGAAGCACCCCCCACAGGAUACCACGAGGGACACGGUCCAACGCCUUCUCCAGAUCCACAAAACACAUUUGGAUCGGUUGAGCGAACUCCCAUGAACGCUUGAGCACCUGAUGGAGGGUAUAGAGCUGGUCCAGUGUUCUGUGACCGGGACGAAAACCGCAUUGUUCCUCCUGGAUCCGAGGUUCGACUAUCGGUCGGAUCCUCCUCUCCAGUACCUGGAAUAGACUUUCCCCGGGAGGCUGAGGAGUGGGAUCCCCCUGUGGUUGGAGCACAUCCUCCAGUCCCCCUUCUUAAAAAAGGGGACCACCAUCCCGGUCUGCCAAUCCAGAGGUACUGUCCCCGACACUUGCCCCUCCCCCUUUAACCCCAGUUCUAAGGGGUAGUGGUGUAAACAUUCUCCUCUGAAAUUGUCCAACCCUUCCAGACCUGUUUCGUCAUCA